UGGGACAGUCAAGACAAGGCAACCACUUGGCAGCCCCGAACCAAGAUGUGAUGAUUUCCAUGAGCUGAUCCUCUGGGUUGUGACGCACAUUGUUGGUAUUAUUCCAAUAUCCUUUGGCUUCCAUUGUUGCUUUGGAGAAGUCCGUCAACUUGAUGUUCCUUUAGGAAAUGGAAAAGAACGCAUUUUUCAGAUCAAUAUCUGCAUACCAUGUGCCAGAGUAUGUAUUGUAAUAAUGAUGCCACAGAAGGCAUAAUUGGGGAUACCAAUUGAUAAAACGCAUGGCAGUCCAUCAUCAUCUGCCGUGAUUCAUUUGGAGUUUUGCAGGAGUCAUAGCAGUGAAUUGAAUGAGGACAUGAUGGAGAUCACCAACCUAACAUCCUUCAAGUCUUUGACGGUGGCAUUAAUAUUGGCAAUCCUACCCUGGAUGAAGUCUUGCUUCAGGUUAACUACCAUGGUGGACAUUGUGAUGUGGUGCUCAGAUUCCCCCUACAGGAAUCUCUCCAACUUAUUUCCUCAGCUGUCAGCUCUCUUUUGGAAUUGCCUUGGCUAAAGAGAGCUCCUCACCCUGGGUCAUGUCUCUCUUCCAAAGGAAGCCCACGUUGAAUGACUGAUUAAUGCAGGGAAUAUCAAAUUCUAGCCCCCUCACCCUAAUUCAAGACAACUGUGGAGGGCUAUCUCAGCUUUAGAGCACCCUGUGGGGUUGCUGAGGGCUUCACUGAGAUUGCAUCACAGCCCAACUUUUCCUUUGUCCAGUCCUGCUUCCUCCCCACAGCAGAUAUUUAUCUUGAAGUCACUCCCUAAUAAACCUUCUGCAGUGUCUCAGAGUCUGCUUCCUAGGGAACCCAAGCUAUCACAACCAUCUUGGUCAGUA
rnacentral:lncRNA from 1 species